GUUUCACCUUUCUUGUUCUUGAUUUCUACAUCAGCUCCCUUCUCCAGCAGUGCUUGUUUCACUUCAUGAGAGUGGGGUUCAUCAGACAAGGAACUGAAGUGUAAAGGUGUAUUACCAUCACUAUCCUGGGCAUUUACAUCUGACACUGGAAGCAACAGCUCAACACACUCCAUACACUUGUUCCGUGCUGCACAGUGGAGAGGUGUUUCACCUUUCUUGUUCUUGAUUUCUACAGCACCUCCCUUCUCAAGCAGUGCUUGUAUCAU